GACGAACGCUGGCGGCGUGCUUAACACAUGCAAGUCGAACGGAAAGGCCCUGCUUUUGUGGGGUGCUCGAGUGGCGAACGGGUGAGUAAUACGUGAGUAACCUGCCCUUGACUUUGGGAUAACUUCAGGAAACUGGGGCUAAUACCGGAUAGGAGCUCCUGCUGCAUGGUGGGGGUUGGAAAGUUUCGGCGGUUGGGGAUGGACUCGCGGCUUAUCAGCUUGUUGGUGGGGUAGUGGCUUACCAAGGCUUUGACGGGUAGCCGGCCUGAGAGGGUGACCGGCCACAUUGGGACUGAGAUACGGCCCAGACUCCUACGGGAGGCAGCAGUGGGGAAUAUUGCACAAUGGGCGGAAGCCUGAUGCAGCAACGCCGCGUGCGGGAUGACGGCCUUCGGGUUGUAAACCGCUUUCGCCUGUGACGAAGCGUGAGUGACGGUAACGGGUAAAGAAGCACCGGCUAACUACGU
rnacentral:rRNA from 1 species